GUCCGGAGCUCCUUGAGAUCGCAGCGUCGGCUCUUGAUCUUUAAGGUUUCCAUCUUCUUGCUGAUGGUGGUCCUGGGGAUAUCCUUAAACAGGUCGCUGAGGACCUGGGCCAAGGCAAACAUCUGGGUGCCAUUGAUCUGCUACAGGAGGGAGCCAGAGAAGCAGAUCCAAACGCCACCAGCCCAGCCCGGCCUGCAGGACAGAUGGACGGACAGACAGACAGCCAGGCCCGAGUGAAAACGCCGCCUUGGCUUGGGGCCGUGGUGGCUCUGCGGCUGCCUCCCUUCCCCAGAACCCAGCUCCGUGCUGCCAGCAGCCAGGGGUUGCAAAAAUGCUCUCAGAUGCACUCAGGGGCAGAGAUAUUCCCUCGCGUUCCCAUGGGACAGUUAUUUUUCAGGAUUUCUCCCCUUAGAAAGUUUCCUCUCCAUGAGCAGUUUGUGAUUCGUAUUGAACCCAACCACCAAAAACGUUUCUCGGCUCUUCAUCUAAACCUCAAGCUCAUUGCAUCAUCAUUUACUAGUAUUUUAAUGAAUCCUGCUGUUAAUAAAAGAAUAUGUGAAUUUAGCCAUUUAUUUAUUUUCAUGCUUAUAAGAGGCUUCGGGAAAACCAGUGGCUGGAGAGAAGGGCAGAGCACAAACCUUCGCAGCGCUCUGUAUUUGUAUGCAACGAGUUCGUAUAAUUUGCAGCGAAUUUGUGCUAUGAUGCACGGGGCAUUAUUAGUAGAUGUUUGGUUCUUUGGGGAUUUUUCCUUUAGGUACUACCCCGUGCAAACAAAAGCAGUAUUUAGUGACAAUUUAUAAAGAUGCAAAUCCCGCUUCGCUCUCUUUUGUUUCAACAUACAAAGACAGAAAAGUGUGCUUAUUUUGAAAGUAGGCUCAGCUAGCUCUGUUGCAGGCUAGGGCUGUGUGCUGCUGUUGUUCCCUUUUCCUCUAAACAACAUGUUUUUAGAAGGAAAAAAAAAAAUGAA